rnacentral:lncRNA from 1 species
GACUAGACACACAAACUCAUGACAUAAACCAAGACUCAACUACCUCCUACCCUACAACCGUAAUACUCGACCUCCGCGUGUUCUUAUCAAGUGUCAUGUCUUCGGAGAUCUGAAGCCUCAUAAUAUCAUGCCUAAUCACCUCCCCGCAAUACUUCUUAGGCCGCCCUCUACCUCUUCUUGUGCCCUCCACAGCCAGCCGUUCGCACCUCCUUACCGGAGCAUCCAGGCUUCUCUCUGAACAUGCCCGAACCAUUUGAGCCUCGCUUCCUGCGUCUGUCAUUAAUGGGAGCCACACACACCUUCUCUCGAAUAUCAUCAUUCCUAAUAUUAUCCAACAUAGUAUGUUUGCAUAUCCACCGCAACAUCCUCAUUUCUGCUACCUUCAUCUUCUGGAUAUGUGAUUUCUUAACCGACCAACACUCAGCCCCAUAUAUCAUGAUCAGUUUAACCACUGCUUUGUAAAACUUACCUUUGAAUAUCAGUGGCCUCUUAUCGUAUAUAUUAAGUUUCUAAUAUAUUAAUGGAUAUGGAAGCUUAAUAAAACUUUGAGAAAUCAAGACAGUUCAAG